rnacentral:rRNA from 1 species
AGGGAAUCUUCCGCAAUGGACGAAAGUCUGACGGAGCAACGCCGCGUGAGUGAAGAAGGUUUUCGGAUCGUAAAACUCUGUUGUCAGAGAAGAACAAGUUGGAGAGUAACUGCUCCAGCCUUGACGGUAUCUGACCAGAAAGCCACGGCUAACUACGUGCCAGCAGCCGCGGUAAUACGUAGGUGGCAAGCGUUGUCCGGAUUUAUUGGGCGUAAAGCGAGCGCAGGCGGUUCCUUAAGUCUGAUGUGAAAGCCCACGGCUCAACCGUGGAAGGUCAUUGGAAACUGGGGAACUUGAGUGCAGAAGAGGAGAGUGGAAUUCCAUGUGUAGCGGUGAAAUGCGUAGAUAUAUGGAGGAACACCAGUGGCGAAGGCGACUCUCUGGUCUGUAACUGACGCUGAGGCUCGAAAGCGUGGGGAGCAAAC